UCCCAGUUCGGAUUGUAGUCUGCAACCCGACUACAUGAAGCUGGAAUCGCUAGUAAUCGCGGAUCAGAAUGCCGCGGUGAAUACGUUCCCGGGUCUUGUACACACCGCCCGUCACACCAUGGGAGUCGGAAAUGCCCGAAGUCGGUGACCGAACCGAAAGGAAGGAGCCGCCGAAGGCAGGUCUGGUGACUGGGGUGAAGUCGUAACAAGGUAGC
rnacentral:rRNA from 1 species